UACGGAGGAUGCGAGCGUUAUCCGGAUUUAUUGGGUUUAAAGGGGCGUAGGCGGCUUUUUAAGUCAGCGGUGAAAUUUUGCAGCUUAACUGUAACAGUGCCGUUGAUGCUGGGGAGCUAGGAUUUGGUUGCUGUGGGUGGAAUGUGUGGUGUAGCGGUGAAAUGCUUAGAGAUCACACAGAAUAUCAAUUGCGAAGGCAGCUCACAAAGCCAAGAUUGACGCUGAGGCACGAAAGUGUGGGGAUCAAACAGGAUUAGA
rnacentral:rRNA from 1 species